AAUAACAGUAAUAAGCAAAUAAUAUAUUCACAGGGUCAUCAGUUUUUCUCUUCUCUUUUCUAUUUCAGAUGUUAAUAACUUAAAUUCAAAAGGAUGGACAACGCUCUUCAUGGCAGCAGAAAGGAGAUAGGGAACAUUACAAUAGCUUUCUGCCAUUUAUACCAACCAUCCCCAAACUCGGCAUAAUAAAAUAUAACUUAGAAAACCUAUACCUCAUUUUACAGACAAAAUGGCUCCCCAACAAGCCCAGGGUGAGAGCAGCAAUUACUUGGGAACAGGCCUUACGAGAACGGGAGAAUCAACAGAAAUAAGAAGCUUCUGCACAAAGGGAAAAAAUUUACAUAAAAUAGCUAAGUGCCUUCUUUCUUCUAGAGCCGCCUUCGCCAUAGAGUUCAUUCCAUUGUAACAACUCAGUCAUGUUAACAGACUCGGAUGAAACACUUGCACAUACCCGUUCAUGA
rnacentral:misc_RNA from 1 species